AUUGAACGCUGGCGGAAUGCUUUACACAUGCAAGUCGAACGGCAGCACGGGAGCUUGCUCCUGGUGGCGAGUGGCGAACGGGUGAGUAACAUAUCGGAACGUACCCCGUCGUGGGGGAUAACUAUCCGAAAGGAUAGCUAAUACCGCAUACGUCCUGAGGGAGACAGCGGGGGAUCGCGAGACCUCGCGCGAUUGGAGCGGCCGCUAUCGGAUUAGCUAGUUGGUGGGGUAAAGGCUCACCACGGCGACGAUCCGUAUCGGGUGUGAGAGGAGGAGCCGCCACACUGGAACUGAGACACGGUCCAGAGUCCUACGGGAGGGAGCAGUGGGGAAUUGUGGACAAAGGGGGCAAACAUGAUCCAGCCAUCCCGCGUGAGAGAAGAAGGCCUUCGGGUUGUAAAGCUCUUUCAGCAGGAACGAAACGGUCGGCUUUAAGAAAAUCGGCUAAUGACGGUACCUGCAGAAGAAGCACCGGCUAACUACGUG
rnacentral:rRNA from 1 species